rnacentral:rRNA from 1 species
CCUACGGGAGGCAGCAGUGAGGAAUAUUGGUCAAUGGUCGGGAGGCUGAACCAGCCAAGCCGCGUGAAGGACGAAGGUGCCAAGCAUUGUAAACUUCUUUUGUCAGGGGACAAAAUCGGGCACGUGUGCCCGAACGAGGGUACCUGAAGAAAAAGCAUCGGCUAACUCCGUGCCAGCAGCCGCGGUAAUACGGAGGAUGCGAGCGUUAUCCGGAUUUAUUGGGUUUAAAGGGUGCGUAGGCGGGCUGUUAAGUCAGCGGUAAAAGCCCGGGGCUCAACCCCGGCGAGCCGUUGAAACUGGCUGUCUUGAGAUGGCGAGAGGUAUGCGGAAUGCGCAGUGUAGCGGUGAAAUGCUUAGAUAUCGCGCAGAACUCCGAUUGCGAAGGCAGCAUACCGGCGGCGAACUGACGCUGAGGCACGAAAGCGUGGGUAUCGAACAGGAUUAGAUACCCCUGUAGUC